GGUUGUAGCUCAGUGGUAAAGCACUUGACUAACAUGUGUGAGGCACUGGGUUCAAUCCUCAGCACCA
rnacentral:tRNA from 1 species